UCCCGUUUACGGUGUGGACACCAGUACCCCAGAUGGAAAGGGUAAUACCGAGUGAAAUCGCCGACUGGUGCCCAUUGUCCCCUCUGAACGCUCAACGGAGGUUGUCCCAUUGGCCGCAGAGUUUUAGCACCAGAAGCCGUUGCUGUGUGGUCUGGUGUAUUUCCUCCCCUUUGAAAAGAGCAGGUCGCACCAGAUGUCCUCUCUGGCCUGGGCCCCGAGGGGGGAAACAGAGAAGACUAAGGUGUCAUUUUUCCACCUAGAGGGUCAGUCCUUGACGGAGAUGGAGCUGACCUCCUGCAGACACAGCCAGAAGUGAUGUGUGGUUUCCUGUCCCACUGGAUGGCCUGGACUGUAGAGGAGCUUCGGGGAUAAACUUGAGGAGGUGAUUCGAGCAUGCAGGUCGGCGUGGAAGAUGCCGCUCUGAUGGUGCCUGCGAGGGAAUUCUGAUGAAACCAGCCAGGUUUCCAAGCCAACACUCUCUCCGUGUGAAUCCAGAGUGACGCGCUGAGACUUCCCCAGCCUCCUGGACCAUCUGGACAGCGUCUGGGAAGUUAGCACACCACGAGGGAGAGGCUUGCUGCUUCAAAUGGUGAAGGGAGAGCUAGGGGAUGUGGGAGAUCACCUGGGAGGCCAGGCUUCUCCAGGGGACUGGGAUGUGCCCAGGGAGUGGGGGGUGGUCGCUGAGGUCUAGAAUUUUGUUUUCCUUUGGGUUAUCUUUACAACGUUCUUUUAUCUGUUCUAAAGGGAACCCUUCUCUGUAGUUAACUUUGUAACUUAAAGAAGUUUCUAUAGAACCAGA